GACGAACGCUGGCGGCGUGCUUAACACAUGCAAGUCGAACGGAAAGGCCCUGCUUUUGUGGGGUGCUCGGGUGGCGAACGGGUGCGUAACACGUGAGUAACCUGCCCUUGACUUUGGGAUAACUUCAGGAAACUGGGGCUAAUACCGGAUAGGAGCUCCUGCUGCAUGGUGGGGGUUGGAAAGUUUAGGCGGUUGGGGAUGGACUCGCGGCUUAUCAGCUUGUUGGUGGGGUAGUGGCUUACCAAGGCUUUGACGGGUAGCCGGCCUGAGAGGGUGACCGGCCACAUGGGGACUGAGGGAGGGCCCAGACUGGUACGGGAGGCAGCAGUGGGGAAUAUUGCACAAUGGGCGGAAGCCUGAGGCAGCAACGCCGCGUGCGGGAUGACGGCCUUCGGGUUGUAAACAGCUUUCGCCUGUGACGAAGCGGGAGUGACGGUAAUGGGUAAAGAAGCACCGGCUAACUACGUG
rnacentral:rRNA from 1 species